GGAAUAUUGGGCAAUGGGCGGAAGCCUGACCCAGCCAUGCCGCGUGCAGGAAGACGGCGUUAUGCGUUGUAAACUGCUUUUGUACGGGAAGAAAACGCCACUGCGGUGGCCCUUCCCGGUACCGUCCGAAUAAGCACCGGCUACCUCCGUGCCACCAGCCGCGGUAAUACGGAGGGUGCGAGCGUUGUCCGGAUUUAUUGGGUUUAAAGGGUGCGUAGGCGGCCUGAUAAGUCAGCGGUGAAAGUCAGUGGCUCAACCAUUGGAGUGCCGUUGAUACUGUUGGGCUUGAGUACGGGAAGGGUACAUGGAAUUUAUGGUGUAGCGGUGAAAUGCAUAGAUACCAUAAGGAACACCGAUAGCGUAGGCAUUGUACUUGCCCGUAACUGACGCUGAGGCACGAAAGCAUGGGUAGCG
rnacentral:rRNA from 1 species